rnacentral:rRNA from 1 species
AUUGAACGCUGGCGGCAGGCUUAACACAUGCAAGUCGAGCGGGGGAGGUUGCUUCGGUAACUGACCUAGCGGCGGACGGGUGAGUAAUGCUUAGGAAUCUGCCUAUUAGUGGGGGACAACAUUCCGAAAGGAAUGCUAAUAACGCAUACGCCCUACGGGGGAAAGCAGGGGAUCUUCGGACCUUGCGCUAAUAGAUGAGCCUAAGUCGGAUUAGCUAGGUGGUGGGGUAAAGGCCUACCAAGGCGACGAUCUGUAGCGGGUCUGAGAGGAUGAUCCGCCACACUGGGACUGAGACACGGCCCAGACUCCUACGGGAGGCAGCAGUGGGGAAUAUUGGACAAUGGGCGCAAGCCUGAUCCAGCCAUGCCGCGUGUGUGAAGAAGGCCUUUUGGUUGUAAAGCACUUUAAGCGAGGAGGAGGCUCCUUUAGUUAAUACCUAAAGAGAGUGGACGUUACUCGCAGAAUAAGCACCGGCUAACUCUGUGCCAGCCGCCGCCGUAAUAC